UACAGAGACUGCAAGCGUUAUUCGGAUUCACUGGGCGUAAAGGGUGCGCAGGCGGCCGUGUGUGUGAGGUGUGAAAUCCCGGAGCUUAACUCCGGAACUGCGCCUCAAACUACACGGCUAGAGCAUUGGAGAGGGAAGUGGAAUUCACGGUGUAGCAGUGAAAUGCGUAGAUAUCGUGAGGAACACCAGAGGCGGAGGCGACUUCCUGGACAAUUGCUGACGCUCAGGCACGAAAGCGUGGGGAGCAAAAGGG
rnacentral:rRNA from 1 species